rnacentral:rRNA from 1 species
UACGGGGGGGGCAAGCGUUGUUCGGAAUUACUGGGCGUAAAGGGCUAGUAGGUGGCCAACUAAGUCAGACGUGAAAUCCCUCGGCUUAACCGAGGAAUGGCGUCUGAUACUGGAUGGCUUGAGUUUGGGAGAGGGAUGCGGAAUUCCAGGUGUAGCGGUGAAAUGCGUAGAUAUCUGGAGGAACACCGGUGGCGAAGGCGGCAUCCUGGACCAACACUGACACUGAAUAGCGAAAGCCAGGGGAGCAAACGGG